GUGAGGAAUAUUGGGCAAUGGGCGAAAGCCUGACCCAGCCACGCCGCGUGAGUGAUGAAGGCCUUCGGGUUGUAAAGCUCUGUGGGGAGGGAAGAAAAAGCGCAGGAGUAACUGCCUGUGUGUUGACGGUACCUCCUUAGCAAGCACCGGCUAACUCUGUGCCAGCAGCCGCGGUAAUACAGAGGGUGCAAACGUUGCUCGGAAUUACUGGGCGUAAAGCGCGUGUAGGCUGACAUGCAAGUCGGGUGUGAAAUCCCAGGGCUCAACCUUGGAACUGCACUCGAAACUGCACGUCUUGAGUACUGGAGAGGGAAGCGGAAUUCCGGGUGUAGAGGUGAAAUUCGUAGAUAUCCGGAGGAACACCAGUGGCGAAGGCGGCUUCCUGGACAGUAACUGACGCUGAGACGCGAAAGCGUGGGGAGCAAACAGGAUUAGAAACCCGGGUAGUCC
rnacentral:rRNA from 1 species